CAGUCGCCACGGUAACACGUAGGGUGCGAGCGUUAAUCGGAAUUACUGGGCGUAAAACGCACGCAGGCGGUCUGUCAAGUCAGAUGUGAAAUCCCCGGGCUUAACCUGGGAACUGCAUUUGAAACUGGCAGGCUAGAGUCUUGUAGAGGGGGGUAGAAUUCCAGGUGUAGCGGUGAGAUGCGUAGAGAUCUGGAGGAAUACCGGUGGCGAAGGCGGCCCCCUGGACAAAGACUGACGCUCAGGUGCGAAAGCGUGGGGAGCAAACAGGAUUAGAUACCCGUGUAGUCCCUGUCUCUUAUAA
rnacentral:rRNA from 1 species